AUCAUCAGAGGGAAAAGAGGCAACCAGCAAAGAGUAGUGUCGUGGAAGCCCAAAGAGGAGUUUUGAAAGGAGGAAGUAGUUAAUAACAUCAAAUGCUGGGGAAUUAUUCAAAAACAUGCUCUGAUGAUUACAGAGCAGACUUGAUAUCCAGGAGAUUGUUAGUGAAAUAGUGGAAAACUGAGCAGGAAUGACUUGUGUGGGAAGAGAGUGGACACAAAUUGUGGUCCCGUGGCCUUGACUGGUGGCACAGGGUGGCAGCCAGGGGACAUUGCAGAAAGAGAAAUGAGUGAAUCACAGACCGUCGAGAAAGAAGUGGGCAGAGGCAAAAAUGCGUUCAGACGUUGGUGGAAGGCAAGACGUGAAGUGUUGGUCCUGGGGCAGAAGACAGGGAAAGAGGUCCAGCCCACAGAAGCCCAGGUCAACCUUCAGCAAAUAAAGGGAUGUUUCUGCUCCUAAGAUCACAGGCAAGGGUGGGAUCAGGUACAGAAAAAUUGAUGGAUUUGGAGAUAGAAGCCAAGAAAUGCCAUGCUUCUGCGUCUCAGGUAGGCUCAGAGUCUUUAAGUGUCUACUAAUACGUGGACCAAGGCAGCAGCUGCAGCCAGUGCUUGGAGCUCCAAAGAGAGCAUAACUGAGAGGUUGCCCCAGAUAUAAAGCUGAAGACCAUCAGCUCCAGCAGGUCGUGUUGCAGAGCAUCCUAAAAGAGGACUCUAUCCAGGUUCUCGAGACACAGAAGCUCAGGCUAAAAGAGCUUAAAUACUUCUCCAAAGUCUUAGAGUUGGAGUAGAAGAAAGAACCUGGAGUUGAACCCUGCACCACUGAACUCUUGCUCCUGGUCUCUGAAGAAAGAGGGAGAUUUUAUACCCAAUUGAAUACCGAGGCACACACCCUUCAAGCAAGGCAACAAAGGCAUGAAUCCAGGCCAAGGCAAGACUUUGAAAGUAGAAUAAAGCCCACAGCUAAACCCUUGAGAGUCAAUGAAAGGAGAGCCGCUGUGAAUUCAGAUUAUUCAGGGAAAACUUUGGCUAACUAGGUAAGUGUCAGGCUAGAUAGAUCAAGAUGGCCAGGAGAGAGAGAUGGGAAUUCCUCUGCUCUCUGAGCAUCUCCUUGCUGUCCAGGGUUGCUGGCCAGACCAAACCCAGCCAAGCCUCUUGCCUCCCAAAGCUGCCAUCUGCCACACAGCUCCGGCAGAGGCCAAACUCUGCCUGCAUCAUUUCCAGAGUUCCUUGCUUUUGCAAAGUCAUCCUGAGGUGAGCCACAGAGAACUGUCCUCUAAAUGACUGCACAACACCAAAUAAAUGACUUUCCUGAAGAAGAGAUGACAGCUGAGGAAGCUGCUUACAGAGAGGAGGUGCACCCGCACUCACCUGCGGUCUCUUCCCACAUCCCCAAGCAGCACGUGUUACCCACCCCCUCCUCCCCAUCUGGAAGAAGGAGGAGAUGGGUGGUAGCCUUAUUAAAGCCUGGCACAGGGCCAGCUUUGCUCAAGCUGUCUUUAUUAUUCAAUCUUAGGAAAGCACCUUGAAAAUAAACAGUGACUGUCUCCUAUCAUGUAUGUAGCACUUAGCAAAUUGGAAGUGCUUAAUAAAAGUCAAUGAACCCAA